rnacentral:rRNA from 1 species
UGGAGGCAGCAGUAGGGAAUAUUGGGCAAUGGGCGAAAGCCUAACCCAGCCACGCCGCGUGAGUGAUGAAGGCCUUCGGGUCGUAAAGCUCUGUGGGGAGGGACGAACAAGCAGGCACCAAAUAAGUGCAGGCCCUGACGGUACCUCCUUAGCAAGCACCGGCUAACCAUGUGCCAGCAGCCGCGGUAAUACAUGGGGUGCAAACGUUGCUCGGAAUUAUUGGGCGUAAAGCGCGCGUAGGCGGUCGCUUAAGUCGGAUGUGAAAGCCCUCGGCUUAACUGAGGAAGUGCAUCCGAGACUGAAUGGCUGGAGUACGAAAGAGGGUCGCGGAAUUCCCGGUGUAGAGGUGAAAUUCGUAGAUAUCGGGAGGAACACCGGCGGCGAAGGCGGCGACCUGGUUCGAGACUGACGCUGAGGCGCGAAAGCGUGGGGAGCAAACAGGCUUAGAUACCCUGGUAGC